UCCCUGGUGGCUCAGAUGGUAAAGCGUCUGCCUACAAUGCAGGAGACCCAGGUUCGAUCCCUGGUUUGGGAA
rnacentral:tRNA from 1 species